rnacentral:rRNA from 1 species
GACGAACGCUGGCGGCGUGCUUAACACAUGCAAGUCGAACGGAAAGGCCUCUUUCGGGGGGUACUCGAGUGGCGAACGGGUGAGUAACACGUGAGUAACCUGCCCUUGACUUUGGGAUAACUUCAGGAAACUGGGGCUAAUACCGGAUAGGAGCUCCUGCUGCAUGGUGGGGGUUGGAAAGUUUCGGCGGUUGGGGAUGGACUCGCGGCUUAUCAGCUUGUUGGUGGGGUAGUGGCUUACCAAGGCUUUGACGGGUAGCCGGCCUGAGAGGGUGACCGGCCACAUUGGGACUGAGGUACGGCCCAGACUCCUACGGGAGGCAGCAGGGGGGAAUAUUGCACAAUGGGUGGAAGCCUGAUGCAGCAACGCCGUGUGCGGGAUGACGGCCUUAGGGUUGUAAACCGCUUUCGCUCAUGACGAAGCUUUGUGUGACGGUAGUGGGUAAAGAAGCACCGGCUAACUACGUG